UACUUUCAGUUUCUUUAACAGGGUCAAAGAAGCAAGUAGUGAAUACAUUCACCGAACUUGGGCUGCCGGGUCCUGGGCUGUUGGGGGAGAUUGAAAUCAAAAACAAUAUUUCUGAAAGGUUUAAGCAUGUACUGCCAGACUCAAGGACAGCUUCUACAUUGCCGUUGUUAGACUAUCGAACAGUUCCUUUAUACGAAACUCACACCAUUGUAGCUCUGCUGUCAUCCCUACCAGAAGUUGCUUCCAAUUUACUCUGACCAGCUCCUAUCUCAUACCACUGUAAAUCUCAAGGCUAUGGAGUCCUGUAUCACUGUCAUCAUUAUCACAUCUUACAUCAACCACAUGCAGGUUAGUGCAUUUUUUUUAAAUUGCAACUUGACUUCUUAACUUCUAAUCUUCCCUGUUCUGUCCA